rnacentral:rRNA from 1 species
CUAGUUGGUGGGGUAAAGGCCCACCAAGGCAUCGAUCAGUAGCUGGUCUGAGAGGACGACCAGCCACACUGGAACUGAGACACGGUCCAGACUCCUACGGGAGGCAGCAGUGGGGAAUUUUGGACAAUGGGCGCAAGCCUGAUCCAGCAAUGCCGCGUGAGUGAAGAAGGCCUUCGGGUUGUAAAGCUCUUUUGUCAGGGAAGAAACGGUUACCUCUAAUACAGGUGGCUAAUGACGGUACCUGAAGAAUAAGCACCGGCUAACUACGUGCCAGCAGCCGCGGUAAUACGUAGGGUGCAAGCGUUAAUCGGAAUUACUGGGCGUAAAGCGUGCGCAGGCGGUUUUGUAAGUUUGUCGUGAAAUCCCCGGGCUCAACCUGGGAAUGGCGAUGAAGACUGCAAGGCUAGAGUUUGGCAGAGGGGGGUAGAAUUCCACGUGUAGCAGUGAAAUGCGUAGAUAUGUGGAGGAACACCGAUGGCGAAGGCAGCCCCCUGGGUCAAAACUGACGCUCAUGCACGAAAGCGUGGGGAGCAAACAGGAUUAGAUACCCUGGUAGUCCACGCCCUAAACGAUGUCUACUAGUUGUCGGGUCUUAAUUGACUUGGUAACGCAGCUAACGCGUGAAGUAGACCGCCUGGGGAGUACGGUCGCAAGAUUAAAACUCAAAGGAAUUGACG